GCCUACGGGGGGCAGCAGUGGGGAAUAUUGCACAAUGGGGGAAACCCUGAUGCAGCGACGCCGCGUGAGUGAAGAAGUAUUUCGGUAUGUAAAGCUCUAUCAGCAGGAACGAGACAAGACGGUACCUGACUAAGAAGCCCCGGCUAACUACGUGCCAGCAGCCGCGGUAAUACGUAGGGGGCAAGCGUUAUCCGGAAUCACUGGGUGUAAAGGGCGUGUAGGCGGGAAAGCAAGUCAGAUGUGAAAACCACGGGCUCAACCUGUGGCCUGCAUUUGAAACUGUUUUUCUUGAGUACUGGAGAGGG
rnacentral:rRNA from 1 species